GGUAAGCCUCAGAGAUGAGGUCCCCUCUUCGGAGGCCGCUGCAGAGGUGCUGCAUGGCUGUCGUCAGCUCGUGUCGUGAGAUGUUGGGUUAAGUCCCGCAACGAGCGCAACCCUUGCCCAUAGUUGCUAACGGGUAAUGCCGAGAACUCUAUGGGGACUGCCGGUGAUAAACCGGAGGAAGGUGGGGAUGACGUCAAGUCCUCAUGGCCUUUAUGUCCAGGGCUACACACGUGCUACAAUGGACGGUACAAAGAGUCGCGAUGCCGCAAGGCGGAGCUAAUCUCAAAAAACCGUUCUCAGUUCGGAUUGCACUCUGCAACUCGAGUGCAUGAAGCUGGAAUCGCUAGUAAUCGCGGAUCAGCACGCCGCGGUGAAUACGUUCCCGGGCCUUGUACACACCGCCCGUCACAUCACGAAAGUCGGUUGCACUAGAAGUCGGUGGGCUAACCCGCAAGGGAGGCAGCCGCCUAAAGUGUGAUCGGUAAUUGGGGUGAAGUCGUAACAAGGUAGGCGUAGAUGA
rnacentral:rRNA from 1 species